UUUCGUUGUCGGCUCGAACAUAGUAUUAUGCUGUCUAGCACAUACAUAUAUAAAUACAUUCUUACUUAACCGAAAGUUCUCCUUUAAUCUGAUUGUAAUACUAUGUUCAGACCGACAUUGAGAACAUUUUGAACACACAUUUGUAUGUUGUGGAACGUAAGUCGUUCGGACAGACAAUUUGUGUUUUCGCUUAGUUUUCACUGACACUUCACUUGUUUACAUUUGAGCAACGAGAAUGGUAAGUUUUGAAAUCCUUAAUAUUUGCUUAUAAUUAUUACCAAAGAUCGUGUUUUUUGAAUUCUGAGAAAAAGAUGAUAAUUGCGAAAGCAUUGGCUUUGAGAAGCCAAAUAAAUAUCCUGCUCAUCGACAAUUCUUCAAGAGAACUAUUGGAAUGUCUUACUACUCAGCACCAUGCCUUGGCAAAAAAUAUAGCCGAGUUAAAGAAACAACAUCUAAUCGUAUUAGAUUUAAUAAAGGACCUUGGGAUGCCGAUUAAUUCAUGUUGGACAAAACAACGUAAGAAUCAGUUUUGUGAACACGAUUGCCAACGAAACGGAUCUGCCUUUUUUUAAAAGAAUUUUCGCAUGAACCGAAGUUCCUUUGAUAAAUUAUGUGACAUCCUCCAAAUUACCGAAAAGCUAUUCCUUUCGAGAAAAGUAAGUGGCUAUAACAUUAUUUGCUUUAGGGUCAUCUGCAGAGUAUCGUAGUAUCGCCAACACGUUCGGUGUAGGAAAAUCUACGGUUUGCAAAAUUUUACUGGAAUUUUGCACCGAAAUCUGGAGAUUACUGCAGCCAUCCUGUUUUAAAAUGUUGCCUCUAAACAGAGAAAAUAUAACCGAAUUGGUGACUGGUUUCGAGGUAAUUGGAUUCCCACAAUGCUUAGGAGCAAUUGACGGAUGCAGUGCUGCCAACUUUUGACCAGGAAAAAAAGCUGUGUUUGACGUGAAGAAUGGAGAAAAAAGCUUAAAAAAAUUAUAAAAAAAUCCAAAAAAAAUCUAAAAACAAAUGU